AAGUCACGUUCAGAGCUUCUGAAUGACAACAUUCUGUUGGGAAAACAGGAAAACAUGUCUAGACCGUUUUACACACAGAUGCUGCAGAUGACAGCUCACUUACAAUGGUUUAAAAACAAUAAACAACACGUUUCCAGCUUAUCAACACGUAAUAAGGAUGCACAAUGUGAUAAAGAGAGUCUGGAGUGUCAAACGACUCACCGAAUGAGGCAUGUGUUUGGAAAAUAGUCAACAGACGGAGAGCUCUGGAUCGUUUGGAUUGAUCUUCAUUGCAGUGAUGGACAUCAGCUGUGGACAGGUGAUGCAUCUAUGAUCCUCCAGCACAUGAUCAGAUGUCCCUCCUGGAUGCAGUGGAGGCUUCAGAAACUUUUCAGACUGAAGAGGCAAAUCUGG